CACCUGGAAACGUGCUUACCGACGUGAAAAUCGUACAAUGUGUUCUUGCCUUUAAGUGUCUGAUAGUAACCCAAUUCAACAGCACAAAAUUGGAUCUAUCAAACGAACAUUUGACAUUUUCCAAUUUUCAAAAUUAGUCCGCAACAUAGACAUGAGAUGAAUAAUCGUCCCCCCGUAGGAAUUACGUCCGUUUUACGGGACACUAAUAGUUAUGCGGGUUUUUCGUAUUAUGGCGGUGGUACAGAAAACGAUAUAUUCAUUUAAUAUACAUUUAAAAAAAAAACUAAUUCUGAAAAAAAAACCGGCGUUACAAUAACCCCGAUGAAAUAAACCCCUCGCCGCCAUAGUUUACCCAGGGGAUAUAAUGUAAUUUCUCUAGUUAAAUUUUACCGCGGAGUGGUAAACAGCACGGGGGUCAAUAUUCGUGGUUACACCGGAAAUCCUUAUAGACUAGAUCAUAUAUAACGAGCCGAAACGACCGAUUGGUUGUCAUGACGAAUACGAUAGCGUGAUAAUUAUUUAGGACUGCCAUUUAUAUCAGAAUAAUAACCGGGACAUUCAAUUUUAGAAAAUAGUCCCUCCCACUCUAAUUGUCAAAUUAAGGCUUGAAAGUUUAAGCUUAAGGUUUGAAAGUACUUGAUAGUUGUGAUUAUUUAUAACGCCUGGAACCCGAAAUGUGAAUAUCGAAACUAAAUUCGAUUAUUUUUUGGUAAAACUGAAAUUUUUCAAGACCCU